rnacentral:lncRNA from 1 species
GUUUGGACCAAAAUGGAUAAUCCUACAUUAUCAACAUAUUCUCUUGAUUUUACAUGCAAGAUUGGAUAUGUUCUUUUUCUUUUCAUGAAAAUGCAUUAUUGAAUGUGUUUGUUUAUGGUCAUCUAAGCCAUUUUUCAUCUCGCCAAUUCUUUGUUCAAGCAGUUUUUGGAUAAUCGAACCGAUAGAAUACACCCGCAGAAAUGAUGUUUAGAUGACCAUCAACAAACAACUUCAUCUUAUUGCAUCAAGUGUUCAAGAUUUAAGGUUUUGUUACGGUUUAAAACCACCUUUUUCAAUCAACAUUCUUUCCAUCUCUACAAAAGUUUCGAGUGCCAAAUCUUUCCAUAAAGGUGAAAUCAAGAAUUUUAUGUUGGGGGUCGGAAUAUAAAGGAGACGAAUGGGAUGGAGUUAGAAGUGACUGGAGAUUCAAAUCGAAACUGUAAUGGGAUGAGCUAUUUUGCGGUUGUUAUUCUCUUUGGUCAACUGUUCUACACUUGCGAUAAACACGACACGAAAGAAAACAUGUCAUGAUUGCCGAAGAACUUGGUUUCAGAGAAGCAAUUCAGAACUGAAAAAAAGGGUAAGAUUCUUUUGUUCUUCAUGGAGUGAAACUCCCAGCUACUUGUCUUAGCUCUUUGAUAUUAUCUUAGGCUUUCCAAUGUUUCCUUUUGUCGGAACUUCCAAUGCUUUGUUUGUUCAAACUGAAGAUGGAUUAAGUGUCAUCAGUUGAAGUAUAUCAAUCUAUCUAUCUGUCUAUCUAUAUAUAUGUAUAUAAUCAACUUUAAUGGCAAUCAAUUUGGAAGCAAGAAUAGCAAUGGUCCAAAGGAUACAUAUGAUUUAUGUUUCCGCCAUGGUGGGAAAGUUUUUGUCUUGUGAAAGUCAAUAAUAUUGUUUAGGAGCACUCAAAAAAGUUACAAAAUUUUAGGGGACAAAGCUAAAAUAUUACCUUCAAAAAUUUAAAAUUUACUAUUUUUGGUAUCAAAGAUAAAAAAUAGUUAAAUAGAAUUAUUAAUUUUUUAGAAAGGUUAAAAUAUAAAUUUUCCGUUUAAUUAACAGCUAUAAUUUUUUAAAAAAGGCAAAGCAAUUUUUAUUAAUUUUUAAAAUUUAAAUUGCAGAGAAGUUGAUUUCUAAAUUAGCAAUUUAAUUAAAGAUUUUAACUGCAUUACUUAUUUGGUUAGUAUAAUAAAUUUAUAAUUAACCCGUACAAACGAGAAUAAUAUGUACAGAGAAAAAAUUAAACAUGGUUUUUGGAACUAGCUAGAUCGGUAACGGUCAGGAUAUUGGUUCGUGGUUGGAAAUAAGAGGUUAAAUCAAUUGGUUCGUAAAUCAAUAUGGACCGGAUUAAAAAAUAAGUUUGAAUGUAUAAUUAAAUCAAUUGAAUUAAAAUUUUUAAUAUAUUUUUUUCAUUUUUAUGAAUUUUUAAUCAAAUUAGAUGAAUCGAUUUAACUAAAGAACAAAUAAUCUAACUAAUUCAACCAUUAAUCUAAUUUUCUAGAAUAUAUAUUUAAAAAUUUAAGAUUUUUUUUACAAUUUUCUAAAACUUAAAUACCUAUUUUAAUUUAUACAAAAUUUUUAAUUUUUAUAUAUUAUUUUGAAAUUUAUAUUUAUAUUCUAGAUGGGUAAACUACAAAAAUAGUCACUUUUAUUUGUCUUAGAUUACAUUUUAGUCACUUUAAGUUUGAAUGUUACGUUUUAGUCACUUACAUUAUCGUUUUGUUACAAAGUAGUCACUCAACAGUUAAACUUCGUUGCCUCCCUAACGGCAGUCCUACGUGGUAGUCCAAAUAGGUUUUAAAUGCCAACUUAGAUGUUCAUUUGUUGGGAUGGAAAUAAGUUUUUAAUUAAAUAAAUUAAAUUUGGACUGCCAAGUAAGACAUCCAAGUUAACAUUUAAAACUCAUUUGGACUGCCACGUAGAAUAGCAUUUAGGGAGGUAAUAGAGCUUAAUGGUAGAGUGGUCACUUCAUAACAAAAUGAUAAUGUAAGUGACUAAAACGUAACAUUUCAAACAUAAGUGACUAAAAUGUCAUCCGAGACAAACAAAAUUGACUAUUUUUAUAAUUUACCCAAAAAAUAUUUAAUGUGUAUACUUGAAACUCUAAUUGUAUACAUGAAAUUUAAUUUGGUAUAAUUACACACAUAAAACUCUAAUUGGGGUCCAAGUGUAUACUUGAAACUUUAAUUUUGAUUUAAUCAUACACAUUUAAAGAAAUAAUACAUUAAUUUAUUUUUAUAUUGGAUAAAUAUAUUAUUUAUGUAUGCAAUAUAAAAACAUAAAAUGAUGUUAUAUCAAUAAUUGUUUUAAUAAUUUACAAGAAUUGGAUCAAAUUAAAAUUUAUAUAUACAAUUAUACAUUAAAUCUUAAUUCAUGUAUAAUUUUAGGAUUUAUCCCUUAUACAUCCCAUCCAUUACUUUAUUUUUAUUGCAAAGUUGCUUCAAUUCUACUCUCUCAACAAAAACAAUGCCUUUAAUUUGGGGAAGAAAAAUAUUAAUUAUAUUAGUAGAGCUUUUAGACUUUACAAGUAGAAGUAAUGAUUGAUAAGUGUUAUAUAGAGAUAUUAAUAAAUAUUAAAAAAAGAAAUAUUUUAAAAAAAUAAGUAACUAUUUUUUAAAACUGUUUAUGGAAUAAAAAAAGAGAGUAAAUUGUUAGUAUAUUAGAUACUAAAGUAUAAAUGCAUCACCAAAAUUAAAAUUAAACAUUUUAAGAGCCAAAUAUGAAAGACUUAUAAAAUAACCUCUUUGGAUAUCGACCCGUAUAAACAACGGAAUAGAAAAAGUAAAAAAGAUCGAAUACAAAUAUUACGUGAAAAAUUCCUCCGAACAGGAUAAAAACCACGGACAAAAGAGGCUUCACUAAUUCGACAAACCAUUGAAGAGUACAAGAUAAAAAAAAAAUCAAAACCAAAACAAUAAAACCCAAAUAAUCACUAAAAGAAGAGUACAAGAUGCAAAUACAAGAUAGUUGAAGUCAUGAAGCAAUAAUUUUACAGCAGAAAAAGAAAAUAUUUAAUCAAGAAUCUUGAAUUGCAGCUAAUUUUAAAAAUUAAAACCUCUAGAAUUGAAAAGCAAAGAACAUCACAACCUUCGUCUUCUUCAAUUGUAUCUACCAAAACAAUAGACCAAGACAAGUAUUAGUAUAAUAAACACUUAAAAGAAAGAGAGAAAAAGAUCUGCAAAUGUAUGAUAAAAGAUUCGCUUACACUGUUAUGGUUUUAAACGGACUUCAUCAUACAUCUUAAAACCAUCCCCUAUCAUCCCCAAACCUGAGCAAGGGUCGAACAACGUUCUUAAUAUUGAAAUUAGGGUGCCCCCACUCCACUGCUUCCCACCAAUCUAUUGGAUAUACUUGGAUUCUCUGGAGAGAAUUAGAAGGAGAUAGUUUUCCUUCAUCAUCAAUCUCAAGCUGUGGAAGAUAUAGAGGAAUCCGCUUUAGCUUUGGACAAAAACUUAUUCUAAUGAAUUGGAGAGAAUCACAAUCCAUCACUCCAUUUUCACUACAAAUGCGGUGCAAUUGUACUAGAUUACUCAAUUCUAACCUCCUCAGUUUGGGGAAAGGGAAUUUGAUGGUAUCAUUAUUGGAACCCAAUCUUUUUUGCUCGGAUUCUGUUAUUAUUUCUUCCAAUUCUCUACAAUUCAUAACACUGAUCUCUUCCAGGUUGCUUAGAACCCAAUCAGCCGAAAACAAUUUCUUAAUUUUGUUACAAUCAUUUAGAGUGAUCUCUUUGAGGGAGGAAAAUAAGCCGACUGAUGAUUCUCCAGCUCCGGCUCCAGCUCCAACUUCAACUAUGACUUUCAAAUUAUCUAAGCCACUUAGAUACAGAGACUCGAGUGUUUGAAGCUGAUCACACUGGGAUGAAAUUACAGAUUCCAACUUCCUACAAGCACGAAGUUCACAUACUUUCAAGUCAGUUGCAUUCCUCAAUCCAAUAUCGUUUAUACUUCUCACACCCCAACAUCUCAAUAGACUUAAUUGCUCGAUACCGUAUGGAAGUAUAAUUUCACCUCCAAUAUCAAAUGUAACAUCUUCAAAUCUAACCAAAUUACUAGAAGUCGUGGGAUGAAGGUCGGUCAUAUGAUAACAUACCAAAAUGGAGAAUUUAUAAAGCGUUUUUCUCUUACUUGCAAACGUGUUCAAGUCACCCACGUUAUGGAACCGGCCCUCAAAAACCUCCAACUUAUUCAAUUCCCUCAACUCUUCUUCGCUUUCCAAUUUAAAAUGAAUUGCCAAAUACUGAAGCCGGCAUAGUUUUGAGAGUGUUCCAGUAGGAAUCUCUAUUAGACGAGAGGUACGUUGAAGAUUGAGAUAUCUAAGAUUUACCAAAAUUUCCCAACCUUGAGGGAUUUCCUCGAUUCCACUGCGUCCAAGAUCCAAUUUCUUCAAAGCUUGAAGUUUCGAUAGACAAGGCAAACUCUUUAAACACCAACAUCCUCUAAGCAACAGUACUGUGAGUUUCUCCAAAAAGGAAAUAGAAUUAGGCAAACUCUCUAAACGAGUAUAAGAAAGAUCAAGAAUCUUAAGGUUAGGAAAGUGCUCAAAGAAAGAUUCUGGAAUUUCUUUCAAUGAAUUCCACGAGAGCAACAACGUUGUGAGUUUUGGAAAUUUCGGACUAUUCAUCAUUUGAGGAAUUGUUGAGCUGCGAUUGUGCAUCAAAGAAACCUUCUCCAAAUCUUCACCCCAGUCUUCCUCGUUUGGUAGCUCUUCCAACUGCAUUCCAGCUUUUACCAGAAAUCUUUUCCUUGUGAUAUGCAAUGCCAUAUCUCUAACAAGAUCAUGCAUUUUUAUACAUGGCCUAUCCUGAACCCUUUCUAGCAAACAAUUUUCUUCAAGCUUUUGCAAAAUGGAAUGACUGCUACCCUCCAUUGCUUUUAUACUUCCCAUUUCAUCUAUAAGCCCUUCUUCCAUCCAAUUUUCAGUUAUCUCAUCUUUAUAGAUUCCAUGAUCUUCAGGAUAUAAUGCACAAUACAAAAGGCAAUCUUGGUCUACUCGUUGUAGACGAUCAUAGCUGAAUUUUAAACAUCCAUACACCUUAUCUUCCAUAUCGUGGAUGUUUCUGAUGUAGCCUCGUAGUUCAUCUAUAGCAUUUUCCCACAUACGAGGAUCGGAUUUUCCCCUCAUACAACCAGCCAGUGUGACAACUGCUAGAGAAAGUCCAUCACAUUCCCUCACAGCAAGUUUCAUUAAUGAUUCUAAAGUUGGAUUGGGCAACAUGUCUUGUCCAACUUUGCUUAAGAAUAAGUUCAUGGCUUCCUCCAUAGAAAAACAAGGAACUUUAACUUUCUUAAAUCCCAUUGAUUCAACCACCCUUUCUGAACGUGUGGUCAACACUAAUUUGCAUCUAUUAUAUGUUGUAGGCUCAAGGAUUCCAACAUCCUCAAGGGAAAAGCUUCUCCAUACAUCAUCCAAUAUUAGCACAUGCCUCAUUUGUCCUCUCAACAUUUCUGACAACUUCCCUGCACGGACGAUUGUAUCUUCAUCAUCUGACAAGUUUCUCUCCAAUUGAGAAGCGAUGUUAUUUUGCAGCCUUCGAAUAUCGAAGUCUUGAGAUACAGUUACCCAAAUCAAUUUUCUAAAUUUACUCUCUUUCAACAACCUAUUAUGGACAUCCUUCAUAAUGGUUGUUUUCCCAAUUCCGCCCAUCCCCCACACACCAAUCAAUCCAACUGCAUCUCCCAUCAAGUACUGAUAAAUUUCUUCUCUAACAUUGAUCGCACCUACUACUUCCGGUGUAGGUAGAUUAACCGCUAUGGUAGA